rnacentral:lncRNA from 1 species
AUGUCAAAGCUAUCAAGAAGAGAAUAGAAGAUUUGAUAACUAGAGAUUACCUAGAGAGGGACAAAGAUAAUCCAAACCUGUUCAAGUACUUGGCAUGAUUUGUGCAGAUCAUAGUGAAUGAGUGAUGUUUAUAUGAACUUUUGCAAUCGACAUAGGAGGAGAAACAUGCCCCACAAGAUGAGGACAGAUUUCUUUAACUCCUACCUCCCUGGACCUUUGAUUGCCUUGCACCAGGAGCUUGAAACAUUUUGUACAAAUGGUUAAGAUCUCAGGAAAAAGUAGAAUUGCCUCUCAGAUACUUGAGAUGAGAUUGCCUUAACUUCUUCCAAUCCUAUAUGGCCCUUUAGCUUGCUCUAUUAUGUGUUUUGUCGGCUACCUGUUCGAGUUUGAGUAAAUGUAAUAUUCUAAUCAACAGCAACUUAUAGUACAUUCUCUGCAACACUACUUUCUUGGUUCUUUAUAGAUUGUGAUUUGGACCUUGGUGGUCCUUAUGUGGCGCUUUCUUUCAAUCUUGUGCAAGUUUAUUGGAUUCGGACCUUCAUGGCUGGUCCUUAUGCUUUCUUUCAAACUUUGUGGACGUGGAAAACUGGUAGCUUGGGGAUGGCAUUCAGGCCAGAAUCUAGAUUAUAUAGCUUUGUAGAUUCGAAAAUACCAGCUCGAUAUAGUAACACUCUUAAAGUUACUAAAAUAUGCUAUUUAAAAUUGCAAAACUAGCUAGUAUUAGAAAUUAUGAGAAAUAUCAUUGGUUACAUAACCUGGAUAAGUUUGUUAUGGUCUCUUGACACCAAUCAUCCUUGAGCCUAGAGCCAAAUUUCAUGCUUGUGAAAGUUGAUGAUAUUGGUGAUAGAGGCCUUUUAGGUGGCAUAAUAGCCUUUAUGCCCUAGUAUCCGUAACUUAUUUACCCUUUAAGUAAGCAUUUACAUGAGAGAAGAAGACAUCUCAUCUUCACUAAUAAAAUACAAUUUCAUUUCUUAGUUUUGAGAAUAUGGAAAAGAUCCUUAAUCUUGUUAUUUUCUUGCUUUUGUUAUUAUAUCAAUUUCAUAUUCUAGUUCUUAUGGGCAUAGUCAAAAAAUGUUUCUUCAUUAUUGUUUCGUCGAUUUAGUCUCCCUCCCCCNNNNNNNNNNNNNNNNNNNNNNNNNNNNNNNNNNNNNNNNNNNNNNNNNNNNNNNNNNNNNNNNNNNNNNNNNNNNNNNNNNNNNNNNNNNNNNNNNNNNNNNNNNNNNNNNNNNNNNNNNNNNNNNNNNNNNNNNNNNNNNNNNNNNNNNNNNNNNNNNNNNNNNNNNNNNNNNNNNNNNNNNNNNNNNNNNNNNNNNNNNNNNNNNNNNNNNNNNNNNNNNNNNNNNNNNNNNNNNNNNNNNNNNNNNNNNNNNNNNNNNNNNNNNNNNNNNNNNNNCCCCAUCCCACCCCAAAAACAAAUAGAAGGGUGAGAUCGAUAUUAAUUCACUUGUUCUUGAUCCCCAAUUUUACAAAUUUGACUAUUAGUACAACACAUGUUUAGCUAAACAAAUUUCUUCAAACAUGUUAUUUUUUCUUGAAUGGCAAUUCAACAUUUGAAGGGUAGAGCUAUAAUGAUUAGUAUAUGAACUAUGAAGAUAUGGUGUCUCCUGUCAUAAUAUGUGAAGCUUGGAUUAAGAAGAUAAAUAAAUGAAAGUUCUUCCCUAUAUAAUACAAUUCUUCCAUAUCAAUUUGUUUGAUCUACUUUCCUUUUUAGUCCAUUUAAAAAAGAUUGAAAUUUUCCUUUUUUAACAGUUUUUAUUUUAACUUUCCACUUGACAUGUAUAAGUUCACAAAAUUAAAAAGUAUUUUGAUACAUUUGAGAGAUCUUUAAUUUUUUAUCAUAAGAUUAAAAGGUCACUUAAUUUGAAACAAAGAGAGUGUAUGUUAUGAAAUAUUAAGAUGAUGGAUAUUAAUGUCCAUAUGCACUUGUAUUUGGUGGAUGUCAAUGUUCAUUUGCACUAGUAAACUUGACUUUCCAAGUUACUUGAGACUUGUAAAUAACUUACAUUGUAUAUAAAAAUUGAUAGAUACAAUUGGAAGUAUAAGAAAGCUCUUCUUUCUUCUCCCUGUUUUUAUUGCUCUCUUAUAGUAGUAUUUAUCUUAUUUUGCUUUGAUUUUAUAACAUGUUAUCAACAUGAGUUUCUAAUUUAUUCUAAAGAUAUGCAUGAUAUGAAUAACAAAAAUGUGAGAUCUUCCUAUAAGUAUCUGGGUAUGUAUUUUACCAAUGAUUUACUUGCAAACAGGAUUUAUGUCAUAAUAUCACCUUCCCUUGUUAUAUAACAUUGAUUUGAUAACCAAAAAUCUUAAAAGGUUGUCUGAAUCUUAUUGCUGCUAUGUUUAAUACGUUUAUGUUUGCAUUAUUGUUGACAUAAUUGUUGCAUCAAUUGUAAAUGAAUCUUAGUUUCUAUUGUCAUUGCUAGUAACCUAAUUUUUAAGAAUUUGUUCUAGGGAGGACCCUCUGAUCUAUCAAUAAAAAGAUAUCCAUGUGUGGGGCGAUAAAUAAUCCUAGAAAAGUUUGAUUGAAACUCCCUCCACAUCCCACGAAGAUCUCUACACACUUGUGCAGGACAAGUGAGAUCUUUGAUCUGCGUGCUUGAGAGCAGCUCAAACAAACUAUUUGGUGUGGUCUGAAUUCAAACAUGCUAGUCCGUCUGCUGCUAGGUCAAAAAAUGACGUCGUGUGAGGGCGCCUUUAUGCCCCUUAAUGAAUCAAAUGGUCGUUCGAUCUUUGUUUGAUUUCGACGACCUGCAUAGAUUUCAUGAGAUCGGUCCACUAUUAUUACGGAAAAAAAAUCCUACCCUCUCUUUACAGUUAAGUGACUUUCAGUUCCUUCGCUUCGCUAUUAGGAAAGUAAGCAACUUCUAUUAGUGUUGGAUCUUAAUAAGACUGGGCACCGCAUCGGAACGGGACCAUCGAAUCGGAAUGAACCGAUACUGGAUCGGAAUGGGAUGGUUUGACCGGGUCGUUGAUCGGUACCAGAAUGAGCCAGACCGAAACUAUCGGAAUGGAGGCUUGGUUCCGUUCCGUCCCACUAUAUAUCGGGAUAGAACCGGAACAGACCGGAAUGGAACGGGAUGGGAUAAACAGGACGACACAUAUAGCUAUUUUAAAAAAUAAUACUCCCUCUGUCCCAAUUUAUAUGACUUACUUUCCUUUUUAGUCAGUCCCAAAAAGAAUGACACAUUUCUAUUUUAAGUAACAAUUUGCCUAUAAAAUGUCUUUUUACCCUUAAUGAAAUAAUUUACAACCACACAAAUUUCUAUCAUUCAUUUUGGACCACAAGUUUUAAAAGUCUUUCCAUUUUUCUUAAAAGUUUGUGCCAAAAUCAAAAGUACAUCAUAUAAAAUGGGACGGAGGGAGUAAUUUUUUUGAGUUAUUUUGAAUUACAAAAAUAUGAAUGUUUUUUUAUUUUUCUAAGUUUAAUAGUUUUGAAAUUUAUAAUGUAAUUUUACUUAAGUUUAUUUUAAAGAUAUUUUUUUAAAUUUUUUACUUAUAUAAGUUCGUAAGUUAAAUUUAAUAAAGUUUUUUUUUAAAGUUUUUGAGCUUAAGUUUUCAACUUUAUAAGUUUAUAAGUUAUAUGUUAUAAGUUAUACUUAUAACUUGUAAUUUAAAUAACUUGUUGCAGGCCUAUUUUUAAUUAAUUAAAAAUAAUUUAUCGGGACCAGAUCGGAUCGGAAUCGGGAUGAACCAGUAUCGGUAUACCGAUAUCAAAUCAUGAUACCAUUCCAUUCCGAGUACCGAUUCACUGUAUCCCAUUCCGUUUUGAAUACUACCGGAUCGGAAUGGUACCGAAAAUCUUAAGUCAAAUUGAUCGUGUCAUAUGCAAAGUCUAUCAAUAAUGAUUCAUUAAAGUCUAUUGAUUUCGACUCCUCUCCCUUCUUAAUUAUGCGCUCAAUAUUUCAUUUUCUGUGUGUUUUUAAUAAUACAUCUUAUGUGUACUUAUAUAGGAAAAUAAUAAGAUCAACUUAAUAAUCCUAAUGAGACAUAAAAGUACCCCUUAUGGGUAUAUUCAAUUUUCCUACAUCUCCCACUCACAGAUAAUGAGAAUGUCUUUUCAGUCUGAGAACAUAUUCUCAUCUCCACAAUUAUUCAUAUAGGGAAAUUAGACUAUGAGACCAUCAAAUUGUGAAAGCUAAGUGAUAUAUAUGUUAGGAAUAUAUAACCUCUCUUCGAGUUUAAACAUGCAACUAGAUCAUAAAGUAUGCAGUACCUCAUGUCAUAUAAAUUACAUUUGAUAUAUUCUCAAGAUCUCAUAUAUCAUUAUUUCUUGUAUUCAAAAUUAUAACUCAUAAGUUAUAUCUGGUGCAACGAUGAGCACAAAUCAAUGAGAUUUCAUUAAUGAACUUCCUCUUCUCAUGAUGGUUUAAUUGUUUUUCUAGAUAUACUCCUCUAAAUCGAAUAUGUAUUCAUAAGCUUUUAAAAACAUACUAAGAUAGUAAACAUCAAGUAUCUAAUUAAAGUCACUAAGGGCACAUAUUUUGAGCCAUUACUUCUGGGUCUCAUACAACAAUACAAUUAGAAUGGGCUUACGUUAAAUCCAAUUGGUCGAUGUUAGCACACAUGAUAUGAAAAGCAUGCUACAACAUUUGCUUAUUUACCAUAGGCCGUAUAUCUUUGUUUUUUUAAAUAAUGUUGUAAAUAUGAUAUUUAGACACCAUAUAUUCAAAGUUUGAGUUCAUUGAUCAACCCUAUCAUUUUAACUCACAUCUGGCUUACCAAGUAGACUAGGUGAACAUUUUUCACCUUGAUGACCUUAUGUCAUUAUUUAUGCGACAUUCAAAUUUAAGUUGAUUGAGAUUAUUUAUUUGAUAAUUUUACUUAAAAUUCAAUCUUAUCUCUACUUAUCACUAAGACAAGGAGAAAUUUAUCUAUGUGAAAAGGCUAACAUCAUGUCUACUCAACAUAAUUAUAAAAAAAAAACAAAUAGCUGAAUAAGUAAGGAAUGCUCAUAACAUUCAAUAAUUAAAAUAUGUAUUGAUACAAAUAAACUUUAUUGAUAAUUAAAGAACAUCUGUUUUGUGAACAUGAGAAUAAAAAACAAUAUGAAGUAACUCAAAUUCUGCUCAAGUCUUGAGACCUCGUGUGUAUCAUAAAUACAUCUCCAGUCAAUUGAUUAGUCAAUGAAUCUUCUAAUAUAUCUCUUACAUUCUUGAGUUAGUAUCUGUUUAUUAUGAAAUUUUAAACACUUUAUCUUUUGUUAUUGCUUUCAUAUUGGAGUUGAGUUGAGGUGAGUUUGUCUUCCCAUAUUAUCAGUUUAGUUAGCUAUGUUUCAGUUUCCCCUUACAUGCUUGUACAUUCAAUGUACUGACGUCAUUCGACCUGCAUCUUAUAAUGAUGCAUAUACAAGCUUACAAGAUUAUGAACAAGUGCUUCGUUGAGAUCAUUUGACAUUCUAGUUAGCUUUGAUGAGCCUUCUUGUAUUUCGGAGGACUUCAUCUUUACCUUAAAUUUAGUAUUUUUCAUAUGCCGUGGGUCUUAUCCCGAUAUCCUUCAUAAUACUAGAGGCUUCAUAGAUAGAUAGAGUUGAGAAGUUUUUCAGUUGUUACUUUCUUUGAGUUGUUUUACAAACUAUAAGUAUUUCUAUUGAGUAUUGUUCAGACUUUUUGAGUUAAGUAUUUGAGUUUAACAGAUUUGAUUCAGUUUUAAGUGUAUUAUUGCUUGAGUUAGUCUUCCGCUUGUAGUCCGUCAAGAUAAGGGUUUGUUUGUGGACCAUCAAUGGUUCUCGAGUGUCGGCUAUGUCUAGGGUGUAGGCUCGGAUCGUGACAGUCUGAAUACAAAGCUCUUGAUAUAUAAAUCUUAUGUCUGUUACGUUAAAAAUGGAUUAAUCAAUUUACAAUUCCAUAAAACACGCAAUCACUGCUAAUCAAUCCCUCAUAAUGUGUAUCAACUUCAACAAUUCAAAAUUGUUCAAGCAGAUCGUCCAACAUCCUUUCAACUUUGAUUCAAAAUUUUCACAAAUUUGGAGAAGAUACAUCGUGAAUAUAUCAAUUUUGCUAAGAUAUUCAUGAAUCUAAAAAAAUUUGAAGGUAUAAAUGAUACGGAAGCGAUAGAAUCGUUGUUAGAAAAAUAUUUCAUUUGUGAAUCUAAAAUUAGCAUUGCAACUGAAUUGAGGAAAAAACUAGACAUUAGAUACAUCAUAAAAGAUAAUUUUAAUUCAUGACCAAACACACCUAAAGACACUUAAUACAAAGUUGAUAUUGAAUUCUGAUACAUAACCAUAUGUAUUGUGUUGGCUUUGAACUAGGGUGUUCAGUUAUGUAUUCGAUACAUAACAGUGGGUGUUGUAUGUAUCAGGCAAAAAACAAAAAUAAACAUUAGAUACAUCGUAGAAGAUAAUUCUAAUACAUGACUAAACACACCUAUAUAAAUCUGAUACAUAAAUUCUAAUGCAUAACCAUGUGUCAGCUUUGUAUUCAGUGUGUUUAGUUAUGUAUUUGAUACAUAACAAUGAAUAUUGUAUGUAUCGUGUAUUAAAAUAUAAUGAAAGCUUGCAUAGUUAUGUAUCAGAUACAUAACUAUAAACAAGAUUCAUACUGAUUUAGGUUUGAAAUAAUUGAGGUUAUGUAUCAACAAUAACAUUUGUGUCAAAUACAUUAUACACAAACAAAGUUGUAAUGUAUCUAAUAGUUGAAACAUAAACAUGAUACAUAAGUAAACACACAUGAACCAGUUACAUUAAAAAUUUGAAUCAUGGGUAGAGAAGACCGUAUAGUAAAACCAUCGACUCCUCCCCCCCCCCCCCAAUUUUUUUGAAGGUCAAUACUAAACUAUGGACCAGAAUUCAUAUGUAUCAGAACUUUAGGAUGAAGAAUAUAAAAUAAAAUAAAAAGUCAAAAUCUGAUCAACUGAAAGCAAACAAAGGUGAUGAAGAAAUCCUUUUACUUUUUUAAGAACUUGAGACUGAUGGGAAAAAAUCCGAAAUAACACGGUUGUAAUUCAAAAAUGGUGACUUGGAGGAAAUUGUUGAUACAUGCCAUGAUUUUAGGCAUUAAAUUGGGGAAGUUACGCGUGAAGAGUGAUGCAUCCGAGAAUAAGAGAGAUGGUGAAGAAAAUAGGAAACUUUGUAAUUUUUUCAAAAUGAUACGAAAUUUUAGAAAAUAUGGUAAAAAGGUUGCGUAGUUGGAUAUUUUUACCUUAAUAAUUAUGUUUAUGAUUUUGACUAGUUAGCUAAUUUUCCCAAAUAUAAAAUAAUAACAAUUUCAUAGCCCAAUCCAAACUAAUUCAGCAAAUACUCAUUCUCCCAAAAUGAAUUACAGUCCAUAUCCCCCCUUUAGUUUAGGCCAAAUUUCCUUUCAACCCCUUUAAAUUUAGGCCGAAUCACCCUAACCCUUUUAAAUUUAGGUCCAAUUGGCCCAACCCAAUUUUUUUGUCCUAUUAUUUUGUUCUUUUUUCUCAUUUAUUAUUUUUAUCCUAUCAUUAAUUACUUUUAUUCUUUCUCAUUUAUUAUUUUUAUUAUUUCUUUUAUUAUUUUUAUUCUUUUUAUGUUAUUCUUUAUUAGAGAUAUCAUUUAAUAUUUUUUUUAUUUUUUAUUUUUGUUAGUUUAUCUUCUUUUUAAUUUUUUUCUCUUUCUAUAUUUUUACCUUUUUAAGAAAAUAAAAUAAAUUACCUUUGUUCUUUUCUUAUUUAUUAUUUUAAUUUUAUCUUUUAUUCUUUUUUCAUAUAUUAUUUUUAUUCCUUUUUCCAUAUUAUCCUUUAUUAGAAAUACCAUUUGGUAACAUUUUUAUCUUCUUUUUUUUUCUUUUUUGUAUUAGUUUAUCUUCUUCUUUUUCUUUUUUUUUUUCUUUCUAUAUUUUUACCCUUUUAAGAAAAUAAAAUAAAUUAUUUUUGUUCAUCACUUUUGUUUUUUUUUUCUUAUUUUUUGUUUUUUUAUUUUCUCAUUAAUAUUUUUAUUCUUUUUUUCAUUUUAUCCUUUAUUAGAGAUACAAAUUGAUAAUAUUUUUAUUAUUUGUUUUUUUCUCCGUCUUUUUUUUAAAUUUUUUUUUGUCCUUUCCCCCUUUUUGUUAGUUUAUCAUCUUUUAAUUUUUUGUUCUCUUUCUAUAUUUUACCUUUUUUAAGAAAAUAAAAUAAAUACAAAAAACUACUUUCAUAGUAAUAAAAACAAACAACUAGACUACAAUAAUAACUAAAUAAGAAAAAUACAUAAUUAUGUGAUUUUGGGUCUGUAUAAACUACAUUUGACAUUUAGUGUGGUUUUCUUAAAAAUAAAUAUAGAAUUAUGUGUCAUUUUACUUUUCUUCCCACAAUAUUCAGUAUUUGAUUCUUCUGCUUCCGUCCUAAAUGAUACCAUAUCAGUAUAUGAUAUGUUGUGAUGAAAUCAUUGAGAAAUGAGUUGGUUAUAUAUGAAUAGUUGUCGGAAACCUUAAUAAUACCAUAACAAUAUAUGAAUAUAUGAAAAGAGUACUUAAUGAUACCUUAACAAUAUAUGAAUAUAUGAGAACAAUACUUAAUGAUACAUGUCAGUAUGUUAUAUGUUGUGAUGGUAUCAUUGAGAAAUGAGUUGGUUAUAUAUGAAUAGUUGUCGGAAACCUUAAUAAUACCAUAACAAUAUAUGAAUAUAUGAGAACAAUACUUAAUGAUACAUGUCAGUAUGUUAUAUGUUGUGAUGGUAUCAUUGAGAAAUGAGUUGGUUGUACAUCAACAGUUGUAGGAAACCUUAAUGAUACCAAAUCAGUAUAUGAAUAUAUAAAACAAUCCUUAAUGAUAUCAUAUCAGUAUAUGAUAUGUUGUAAUGGUAUCGUUGAGAAAUGAGUUGGUUGUAGGAAACCUCAAUGAUACCAUAGCAGUAUAUGAAUAUAUGAAAUAGUUCUUAAUGAUACCAUGUUAAUAUAUGAUAUGUUGUGAUGGUAUCAUCGAGAAAUGAGUUAGAUGUACAUGAAUGGUGGUAAGAAACCUUAAUGAUACCCAAUAUAUGAAUAUAUUCUUAUGGUAUCAUUAAGUAAUGAGUAAUUUUGCAAAUGAAUGAAUGAAGUAAACCUUAGUGUUACCACAACAGUAUAUUCAUAUACUAUAACAAUAUUAUACAUGAUCUAAGGUGUGUUCCAAUAUAUUAAAUAGUCAUUCAUUCUACAUAUGUUGUGAUGGUAUCAUUGAGAAAUCAUGAAUUCAUCCCUUGAAGGACUGCUCAUUAGUCUAUGAUACCAUGGUAUUAUAUAUAUAAUGUGUUGGCCUAACCUAUUGGUAGCCCCCUAAAGUUGGCACAAUGUUUCACUUAGACACCUUAACUGAGCGAUAUUCAUUUUAGACACUCCGGGUAGAAUCUCACAGUGCCAUUUUGACACUUUUUACUUACAUGGCAUAAUGAGUGUGAUACACUCAUUGGUAGGCGCAUGAAGUGGUUAUUUAGUUACUUUUUAAUUUUUUAUUUCUUCUUCUCCAUUUUCAACCACCAUUUUUCUCCAAGUUAAAUCUCAUCCAUUGUAAAUGAAGGUUUCAACAAAAAUAAUGGAAUUAUUCAUUAAAUUCUUUGCGCUGGGGGAGGCCGGGGGGUUAUUUGGAGAUAAGAAAAAAUCAACUGGUUGCACAGCGUUCUGCAAAAAGAGGUCGGGUAUUUGGCGGAGAAAACACGGGAGGUGGUUGCAGAAGGCGAUCGGGUUUGGGGUGGGGGGGGGUUAGAGAAGACGAUGGGGUGGGGAUUUGGAGCAGGCGAUUUGGGGUUGUGGGGGUAGUUUAAAUUUUAUUUUAUUUUGUUAUUAUUUGGGGAGUUUAUUUUAUUUUGUAAUUAUUUGGGGAAAAAAUAUUACGUGUCAUUAAUUUAAUGGUCAAUUUUUAUUUUUAUUCAACAUUAAUUAUUUAAAAAUUACUUUUGACAUAAAUGAUAAAUGUCGUGGUUUAAUUCGUCAAUUUACACAUCAUCUGCGAGUGUAAUAUACACACAUUAUAUGUUUUUGUUGAUAUUAAAAAAAGGUAUCAAAAUGACACAGCGGGAUCCUACAUAAGGUGUCUAAAAUGAACAUCGUCCAGUUAAGGUGUCUAAGUGAAAUAUCGUGCCAACUUUAAGGGGUCACCGAUGGAUUAGGCCUUAUGUGUUGGUAUCAUUGAAGAAUGAGUUGGUUGUACAUGAAUGAAUGUAGGAAACCUUAAUGAUACCAUAUGAGUAUAUGUAUAUAUUGUUAUUGUAUCAUCAAUGAAUGAUUAGUAUUGUGAACGAAUGAAGGAAGAAAGGAAAUAUUAGUUUUCCCAAAUUACUUUAAGAGGAACUUUCACAAAUAGCCACUAAAAUCAUUUUAAUUAGGUUUCAUAGUUAUAGUUUGCUAAUUACGAUUCGUAGCUAGUAGCUACAUAUUAGAGGGAGAAGAGAGGUGAGAGAGAUUGGGAGAGGGAGGAGAGAGGCGAGCGAGAGAGGGCAGAGAGUGGAGAGAGGCGAGUUGUAUAUGUAUAUCUGUCAGAUAAUUGUAUAUAUGUAACCGAUGUACAUAUUUAUUUGUAUACCUAGCGAGUGAGAUUGGGAGAGGGAGGAAAGAGGCGAGCGAGAGAAUGCAUAGAAUGGAGAGAGGCAAUUGCAUUAGUAUAUCUGUCAUAUAAUUAUAUAUGUAUAUGUAUAAUUUGUAUUUGUAUUUGUAUAUGUAUAAGCGAGGAGAGAGACGAGAGAGAGGAAGAAAGGAGAGACACACACGUAAUUAUAGCUACAAUUGAGUUGCAAAUCAUAAUUAAUUCAAACUAUAAUUAUAUUAGCUAAUUAAUUAGUAUAUGUUUGAUCAUCCGCGUAAUUUCCCCUUAAUUUAAUCGGGCCAUUAGCCCAAUCUACAAUACUUCUGAAAGUGGGCCUUCUGCCUAUUCAUUAUUGUAGCCCUCAAAAAUUAAAUGGGCUUUAAGCCCAAAUGUUUUAAUGUUUAAUCAGGCCAUUAGCCCAAUUUACAAUACUUUACCUUCUGCCUAUUAAUUAUGAUAGCCUUCAAACAUUAAGUGGGCUUUAAGCCCAAAAUAUUUAUCUUAAAAAAAAUAAAUGCAGUUGCUUAGGGAACCAACAAGUUUUAUGUAUUUUAAAAACUUUUCCCCUUGUGCUGGUUAGAACAAUUUCAAAAUUAAUUCAUUUUUCAUAGAUGAGACUGGUACUUAUUUCUUUGUGAAUUCAUUUAAUAUAACUGCUCAAUGUUUUGCAUUCAACUAGUGUUCUUCCUCAACAAGCAUAUAAGAGAGAUGUGGUUGGUUUGAAGGAAUAGGUAAUCCCUUAGUUCCUUUAAUAUGUUUUCGUUGAUGAGCUUACUUCUGAAUUUUCAGUUUUUGUUCGGAAAGUGAUUGAGCUUCAUGAUAAAUAUUUGGACUAUGUGAAUAAUUGUUUCCAAAACCACACACCUUUUCACAACUAUAGUUAUCUAAUUUAAUGUCCUACUCUAUGCAUUAGGGUAAAAGUAAAUUGCUCUAUAGAUCCCCUUCUCUUCUUUUUCCUCUAGAGCAUCUGCUUUUUCUUCAUAAUACUAGAGUAGGAGAAUGCUGAUAAUAGAUCUCACUUGCAGGUAGUGUAGCUGCUAGUUUAUAUUAGUGAUAAAGACUUGUUUGCAGAAUUCUAUAAGUAGAGUUACCUCUAGUGUGUAUCUCAACCACUACUUGCAUAGUAGCUUCUUCUCUGUUAUUUGAUAAGAGUGCCAAUGAGAGAAGUAUCCUAACAAAGUUGAAGCAGCAGUGUGGGGGACAGUUCACAUCAAAGAUGGAGGGAAUGGUAAGCUAUCUAGAUCAAUUAUGCUGAAUUUGAGGCUAUGUUCUCUGGUGACUUUCUUCUUCUCUUUCUAUAGGUCACAUAUUUGACAUUGGCAAGGGAAAAUCAAGGCAACUUUGAGGAGUAUUUGAGCAAUAAUCCAAUAGCAAAUCCAGGAAUUGACUUGACGGUAACUGUCUUGACUACUGGCUUCUGGCCUAGCUACAAGUCUUUUGAUCUCAACCUCCCAGCAGAAAUGGUAUAUCAUAUCAAUAUGUUAAUUGGCAUUAUGCAGUUGAUUUUAUCUUGGUUUUGACCCUUAUUCCUCUUGCUGAAGUUCUUCUCUUUCGGCAAAGAAUGAUGCAUGUUUUUUUUCUUGAAUCAUUUUUCUUCUCAAACAUCUUGUCAUUGAUUCAUUUUAUGCUGCACAUUGUCAGGUUAAGUGCGUUGAAGUAUUCAAGGAGCUCUAUCAAACAAAAACAAAGCACAUGAAACUUACAUGGAUAUACUCUUUGGGAACUUGCAACAUAAAUGGAAAUUUUAAGCCAAAGACUAUUGAGCUCGUUGUCACUACUUAUCAGGUUGACUGUUGGCUUACUUUUUGAAAUUGGAUAGGCUUAGUUAAUUUAAAACAUUUUUAUUACGUUAUCAAUGAGAAAAUGAGAUUGGCACUUCUUCCUCGUAGGCUUCUGCUCUGCUACUCUUAAUGCAUCAGAUAGAUUGAGUUAUCAGGAAUUCAUGACACAAUUAAACUAUCAGAUGAUGAUGUUGUUCGGCUUCUUCAUUCCCUUUCAAGUGUGAAGUACAAGACUCUCAACAAGGAGUCAAGCACCAAAACAAUUUCUCUGACUGAUGUUUUGAGUUCAACUCAAAGUUCACUGACAAAAUGAGGAGGAUCAAGGUAUUGAUUAAUGAUGAGUAAGGUUAGCCUUUCUACUCUGAAUUGUUGCACUACAUUACUGACCCCAUGAGGAUAUUGCUGUAAUGGUAUGCAGAUACCUCUCCCUCCUGUUGAUGAGAAGAAAACGGUAAUUGAAGACGUUGACAAGGAAAGGCGGUAUGCUACAGAUGCUUCAAGUAGUUGGGGUGGGGGAUUGGGUGGGUAAGAGGAGACAAUAAACUUGGAAUGUCGCAGUGUCACUUAUGCAACUCGUUUUUCAUAUAUUCAUUAGGAAAGUCAUUUUCCUAGAGAAAAUAUUUUUCUAACAUUUUGACCAAUCAAAUAUAGAAAAUGUGAAAAACAUACACAAAUUCUCACUAUUUCCAUUUUUGCCAAGGUAAUUUCUUGGUUUUUCAUUCAGGGUUUUUGGAAAUUUAUCCCUACUAUUUUUGGGUUUUAUGCAUUUUUACCUCAAUUGCUUGAGUACUCUCUUUCUUUUUUGUUUCUUUUAUUGAGAAUGUCGUCUACUUUUACUUCACGACAUUCUCAAAAAAGAAAAAAGAUAGUACUCAAGCAGUUGAGGUAAAUAUGCAUAAAACCCAAAAAUAGUAGCGAUAAAUUUGCAAUAACCUUGAAUGAAAAACCAAGAAAUUACCGUGGCAAAAAUGGAAUAGUUAGAAGUAUAAGGGGGUUUUCGAGGAAACAGGAAAAACACAUAAAAGGGGGAAAAGAUUCACAAAUCACCCUAUUCUCUUCUUGUCAUAAAUGGUUCCACACUGGAUUUACAGGUUGUACUUUUCCCAUUAGUCCAUAAGGAUCGGACACCCAUAUUCCGGGACCAUACAAGCUUGUUACAUUAAAUGCACCAAAACCAAAACAAGCCACCCCUGAGAGAAAUAAAUGAAUUUCAAAGAGGGUUUUCCUGUACAUUCAUCACAAAAUAUUUCUAGAUCCCAAUACAAUACACCCAAUGCCAGAUAGCUGCUAGCUCCGUCUUUUUCCCUCAUCAGGUCUAACUCUCCGAUCACCCUUUUCGGAAAAUUCCUUCGCUCUCCGGUGACAUCACAGGUAUAUUUUCCAUUUAAAUUGUGACCUGCGAUUUGAUGUACAUUGUUCCUACGUAUGUAUAUACCUAUGAUGCAUAGUUGAUGUGAUUGUUUUGGUUUAAUUGGAUCUCCCUUUGCUUCAGAUUGAUCCUGUUACUGAUUUUGUUUCCGGUAGCUAUUAAAAUUGUGUUGUUUUGUAACCUGAAUUAACCGUGGUGCACUUGCGGGAAAAUCCUUGCCGAGGGCCUGUGCACCCCCGGGAUUAGUCGGGGCUCAAAGAGACUCGGACACCCGGUGCAAAUCAAANNNNNNNNNNNNNNNNNNNNNNNNNNNNNNNAAAAAAAAAAAAAAAAAAUAAAAAAAAAAAAAAAAAUUUGUGUUGUUUUGUUUAAUUUCAAAAAAAGAAAUUGUGUUGUUUUGCUGUGGUUGAUUUUGCGAUCUUCAGAGCUGAGAUUGAUUGACUAGUUUUAUGUUGUUUUUUAUUUCUCUAUAGUUGAUUUGAGCACGAGUGUUUCGUCCUUUUGAAAUUAGGUAUAGUGGAAGUUUAGUGUUCAUUACUGGUAGGGUUUGAGUUUAAUUUUUGGUUCAUUCUUUGUUGCAACUAACGACAUCCUUGUAAACUAGAAAUUCAAUAGGAAUAACUGAUUCCAGAACUUUGUUUUAUUUCGUUAACUGCCUGAAACUUUAGAUUUUUCAGCUAUGUUGUUUGGACUCUUCAAAAAUGUCAACAGGUGUGUGUCGGAUCCUCCAAAAAUAGUGUUUUUUGAAGGAUCCGACCAACUUAGCUUUUCAGUGUCUUUGAUGAGUGUAAUUUAAUGGAAGAUUUUUUUCUUAUUCCAGUAGGUGAACAAUGAAUAAAUACAAUACAUAAAGUGCUAAGUGCUAACUAAGGAAAGAAAUUAAGAGUGAUUCCUAUAGAUCUGCAGUGAUCCCUAUAAAUCUGCUGCCCAUAUAUAGCUAUGUAUAUUACUAAGAUUAAGUCUAUAUACAUUCUAUAACACUCCCCCUCAACCUGGAGCAUAUAUGUUGAUCAUGCCCAGCUUGUUACAAAGAUAAUCAACUCGAGUUCCAUUCAACGUCUUUGUGAGCAAAUCAACUACUUGCUCUCUUAUCUUCACUUAGCUAGUGGAAGUCAGUUUUCCUGAAUCUUCUCACGAAUAAAAUGACAGUCAACCUCAAUGUGUUUAGUUCUUUCAUGACACAUCAGAUUUGAGGCAAUAUGCAAGGCAACUUGAUUAUCACACCAAAGUUUUGUUGGUAUGUGAUGUUCCAACCCAAUUUUAGUUAGAAGAUGAUGUAUCCACAUAAUCUCACAUGUAGACUGUGACAUAGCUUUGUACUCAGAUUCUGCACUGGAUUGAGAUACAACACUUUGCUUCUUACUCCUCCAUAAAACUAGGUUCCCUCCAAAGACAUAAUAGCCUGUAGUUGAUCUCCUGUCAAUUUUGGAUCUAGCAUAGUCAGCAUCUGCAAAACACUCAACACGAGUAUGACUGUGAUUGCUAUAUAAAUCCCAAGUCCAGGGGAUCCUUUCAAGUAACAUAAAAUCUGUUCCAAAGCUGCCCAGUGUUUAACUGUAGGCGAGGACAUAAACUGGCUAACAACACUUACUGCAAAAGCAAUGUCUGGACGAGUGACAACAAGGUAGUUUAACUUCCCAACUAACCUCAUGUAUCUCUCAGGAUCAUCAAAGGGGUCGCCGUCAUCUUUCAUAACCUGCACAUUGGGAGCCAUUUGAGUACUGCAAGGUUUAGCUGCCAACUUUCCAGUGUCUGCAAAAAGAUCAAGAAUAUAUUUUCUCUGAGACAAAAAAAUUCCCUUCUUGCUUCUAUUCACCUAUAUACCCAAAAAGUAUUUCAACUGACCCAAAUCUUUCGUAUGAAACCUAGUAUGCCAGAAGGAUUUGAGGGAAGAGAUCCUCGCAUAAUCACUUCCUGUGAUGACAAUGUCAUCAACACACACAACCAGGAUAGUGCCAACUUUUGAUUGUUAGUAGAAAACUGAGUGAUCACAUUUACUCAUUUUCAUCCCUAACUCCAGGACUACCCCACUGAACUUCCCAAACUAAGCUCAGAGACUCUGUUUCAAGCCAUACACAGACUUCUUCAAAUAACAGAUUCUCCCAUACUCCCCCUGAGCAACAAAACCAGGUGGUUGCUCCAUAUAUACUUCCUCUUGAAGAUCACCAUGAAGGAAUGCAUUUUUGAUAUCCAACUGAUGUAAAGGCCAAUUCUCAGAAACAGCUAAAGAAAUGAACAAGCUGACGGAAGUAAGUUUGGCAACUGAAGAGAAAAAGUCUGAAUAAUCCACUCCAUAAGUUUGAGCAUACCCUUUAGCCAUAAGCCUAGCCUUAAGUCUUGCCACAAAACCAUCUAGAUUAACUUUAACUGUGAACACCCACUUACAUCCCAUUAGUUUCUUCGUGCUAGGUAAAUCCACUAAAUCCCACGUGUGAUUUUCCUCUAAGGCGUGUAUUUCCUCAAGCAUCGCAUCAUACCAUCCAGGAUGGUUCAAAGCUUCUUUCACUGUUUUGGGUAUAGAGAUGGAGUCUAAAGAAGGAACCAAGGACCUCGACACAGAGGAUAAGCAAUCAUAGGAAACAAAAGUAACAAUGGAACCGGUGAAGAGCAAUAGAGAGAUCCAAAUUCUCUGAAGGAUCGGGUGAAGAAAGAUUUGAUAACAGAGGAACCGGUGCAGAACAUGUAUCGUCGAUCUCUUGUCUCCUUGAAUAAACUUGAACAAUUGGUGGUCUUGCUGGAGUAGAAGUUGUAGGCCCAAUAGUCAAUUGGUGUUCAAUAGGGGAACUAGGAGAUUGAAGUACAUUAUUUGAUUGUUCUGUCACAACCCGAGCAACCUGAUAGAGUAACCACUCAUCUUCCUCCUCUUGAGUUGUAUAAAUGGGAGGUGCAUGGAAGAAUGGUGGUCUCUGAAAAAUACCACAUCAUUUGACACCAAGUAUUUACCAAGCUUAGUAGAAUAACAUCGAUACCCCUUCUGAAGGCAUGAAUAACUCAAGAAAAUAGACUUCAAUGCCUUAGGAUCCAACUUGGUAACAGAUGGCUGAACAUCUCAAACAUAACACGUGCUUCCAAAUACCUUAGGCUCCACCGAAAAUAGUGACUUGUUUGGAAAAAUAACAUUGUAAGGCACAUUACCAACAAGAACAAUCGAUGGCAUGCGGUUAAUCAAAAAACAAGUUGUAGAGACUGCAUUAGCCCAAAAUUGUUUAGGAACCUUCAUUUGGAACAAAAGUGCUCGACUGUCUCAAGUAGAUGCCUAUUCUUUCUCUCAACAACUCCAUUUUAAGAGGGUGUAUCAACACAUGAAGUUUGAUGGAGAAUACCAUGUUGUCUCAUGUAGGACUGAAAUAAUUCUGACAUAUAUUCUUUAGCAUUAUCACUCCAUAGACUACGCAUUGAAGUAUUGAACUGAGUUUUGACUUCAGCACAAAAGUGAGUAAACACUUCAGAACGACUCUUCAUAAAGUAAAUCCAAGUCAUUCGAGAGAAAUCAUCCACAAAUGUGACAAAAUACUUAUGUCCAGUUUUGGAAACAACAGGACAUGGUCCCAAACAUCAACAUGAACUAACUCAAACUUCUUCCAUUAAAAAAGAAAAAGGUAGUCUUUAUCGACUCCACCCGCUUAUUAAUCUUGGAUUUGUUGAGCUACGAUGGUGUUUAGCAAAUUGACAUGACUCACAAUCUAGUGAAGGAAUAUUCUGAAACUGAGGACAGAGCUUCUUCAACAUAGGCAAAGAAGGAUGCCCUAAUCGACAAUGUGCCUCAAAUGGAGACACGACACAAGAGUAGGCAGCAAAUCGAGGCUCCCAAUAUUCAUCAAGAAUGUAGAAACUAUCAGAUACAUGUCCUUUACCAAUAACUUUAUUUGUCUUCAGAUCACGAAACAAACAAUGACCGACAAAAAUGAGAUAUAAUAGCCUAGGUAUCUGGUAAACUUUCUAACAGACAUCAAAUUAAAGGCUAACUUUGGUAGACCUAAUACAUAUCACAAGGUAAUGGAAGAAGUUAGUUUUACAGUCCCAGAUCCUAUAACAUUACAGAUUGAACCAUCAGCAACUGUCACAGGAGAGAGUGCUCCGUGUGAUUGAAAGCUAGAAUAUAUGUUAGGAUUACCUGUCAUGUGAUUUUCGAAGAGGAUAUAAGACAUGCUUUUCCUGACUCAACAAGGGUAGUAACUGAAAUAGAUUAUUUUUGUAAUUUUUGAUAUUGUGAGAAUUUUGUAAACUCUUUCGCCGAAAUCAAAAUUCUUUUAUCCGAAGACAUAUGAGCCACAAUUUUAGUCAUUCUCUCCAAAUAUUUUAGCAACACAAGAACUCAUCAACAAAAAUAUAACCAGAAGAAUGUAUGUGACCCCACAAAUACAGAUGAACAAAGUCUAAAAAUGGUUUUAUCAACUAAGAAACCAAUUGUCCACCCAAAAUAAAGGAACUGAGUACUUUACCGGUAGACAAGAGCACAUAGUGAACAAUCAAGUAGUUCAGAGAAAGAAAUCCUGAACCGCAACUUAUGAUAAAAAAACACCAAUUAUAUGAAAUGAAGUAGAAGCUAGAAGCCACAAAUCACAAACCAAAUUCAGUGUCGCAGAAUAGAAAUGAACCUGGAACGAACGAACUUUCCAGAUUGUAUUUUAACACCAAAAUAGACCUGAGAAGGGACGAACAAACAUUCCAGAUGGUAUUUUAACACUAGAGCACACUUGACAUUCGCCAGAAAUACGUUUCUAGAUUGUAUUUAACACCAAAAUAGACCUGAGAAUCGCUAGAAAUACGUGCCGAUGCUGGAAAUUCAAAAUCCAAUCAAUUCAGCCAGACACGCACCUUCACGUGCCGGUGCGUGAUGAACAAAAGAACCGUAUGAGCGGUGUGUGGCAACCACUCGCUUCACAACCAGAGGCCGGUGACGACUGGUUUGGCUGGAAAAUAUACUCCGCCUCCUUCUGUGGUGGUGAUAGUAGACUGACCACUUUAAAUCAGUGGAAUAGAAAUCCAAACUUCUUCCGUAACACAACCAAAACGAAACGAGCCUAUAAGCUCUGAUACCAUGUAAUUGAAUGGAAGAUCUUAUUCUUAUUCCAGUAGGUAAACAGUGAAUAAAUACAAUACAUAAGGUGCAGACUAAAGAAAGAAAUUAAGAGUGAUUCCCAUAGAGCUGCAGUGAUCCCUAUAAAUCUACUGCCUAUAUAGCUAUAUUACUAAGAUUAAGUCUAUAUACAUUCUAUAACAAUGAGUAUUUUCUUUUGAUAUUCUCAGUUUUAUUUACUUAUUGAUUUAUAUACAUUAUUGGAAAAUGUUGUAUGCGUUUUUUUUAUGCAACCCAGAAAAGAUUUUAAAAGUACAUAUCUUUUAGGGCAAAGUGUGCAAUUUUUGUAACUCUAGUUUAUCUAGGUCCUAGGAAUCACUUGGUGAAACUUAGUUCUUGUGGAAUUCCUAUCAAGUCAGGGUCUUGGGGAACCAAGUCAGAACCAUGAGGAAUCAAUCAAUUACGUUGAAUGUGCUUAGAGAUGUAUCAUAUGAUACCAGCCGACAUGUCUCAUGCCACCAAAAUGUUGUUACCGUGUGGGUAUUGGUCCAAUAACUGCAGUUUCCUGAAAAGUGCCUCUUUCCAGGGCGAAGGACGUUAAGAGCUUGCAAAAAAAUUGCUGAAUCAAUCCCUAAAUAGUACUUAGAAUAGAAUUUCUUUUCACCGAGUAAUAAGCAUGAAUAAAAAGUAAGCUCACGUGAAUAUUGAGUUAUACCUGUGAGUUAUUUUGUUAUGAAUCAUGAGCUUAGAUGAUUAGUUGGCAAGUAAAUAUCAAUAGCGGAUGAGGUAAUUACUUAGGGUUUUUAUUUUGGCGCAAUGUAGGUAGUCUCUACUGCAUAUUAUUCAACUCUUGUGGAGCUCUCUCGAAGGCUUUUUUUUGUGACAUGUACUUUAACUUUAUGCUUAUCUCAGCACUUCUAAAAUUUUGGAGUUUGGACUUGUUUAGUUACGUAAAUGGUUCAUUUGUUCUUGAUAAUUCAUUAUACUGAAAGUCCUAUACACCCAACUAAAUAUCCAAUUUAGAGUGGUAACGAAUCUUUAGAAGACCAAGAUCACACUGAACCAAUAAAAUACCCACUACCUUUUCCAAUUAGGCAUCUAUAACUGUGGUAAUUCGGAACAUUUCCAGUUAGUGAACUUUUAUUCGUUCCUUUAUUAUUUAUUCUAUUCUUGUGCUCCUUAAUCUUCUCUCCUCUUUGUUUUACUUGAAUUUAAGCCUCCAAUAGUAGUCCUGUUUCCUGUCUUGAUUUUUAGUCAUAUUCUUCUACCCUUUCUAUAGUGAGACCCAGAAAUGGCUCAAGGUACUUGUGCGAUUCUUAGUAUGCAUCGCUCCUUAACAGCCCCCCACUUUGAUGCCUUGAAACCCAAGUAUUCUGGUCCAUAUGUCAAGGAUACAGCCAAGUUUGUAGCCUGUCCAACAUCACACUUUGGUAUUUAAUAAGAUCAUUCUUUCAGUCAUUUGUUCGCUUAUCUCAACAGUAAAGUCAACUAUCAAUGUGAUUUGAUUUUCUGACUGGCUUAUAAAUUGCUUGAUUUUCAUACUAGCUUUUGUUGAGUUUAGUUGGUGAUGUUAUUUAGUUUGGGAACAGGGAGACAGGUGUUUGGAAUUUGUGUAGGGUUGCAUUCUGUUAAAUUGUAAAGAUAUUGAAAUCACAAUGAACCAACAUAGCACAAUCGAUCUGAAACAUGGAUGGGACUUCAUGCAAAGGGGCAUUACAAAAUUGAAGAACAUUCUAGAAGGGCUGCCUGAGCCUCAGUUCAGCUCAGAGGACUAUAUGAUGCUGUAUACGUAUCCUUUUAGACUCCCACACUGUUAGGCAUGUUGAUAACUUGGAUUUGAUUCACCUUUUGUUUCCUUAAUUCUACUAACAGGACAAUUUACAACAUGUGUACUCAGAGGCCCCCACAUGAUUAUUCUCAACAGCUGUAUGACAAAUAUCGUGAACCUUUUGAAGAAUAUUUCACAACAACGGUAAGGGUAGCUGCAGUUUUCAUAAGCAUUUCACUUUAGUAGAGAUUAAACAAGGUACUACAAUAAAACAAGAAAAAAAAGAAUUGAAGAAGUAUUAUUCUUAAUAAUUCUUUGAUGUUUGUAUAUCCAUGUACCAUUCUUGAUUGUUUGCUCUCUAUGUAUCAUUCUGGAAUGUUUGGAACUUAUAAAAAUGAUUUCUGUAAUAAAGAAACAGAAAAUCAUUAGUCUGGUGAGCCCUUUGUUGCUGUUUUAUUUUUUGAUUUUAGCGAUGUAAACAAAGUGGGGUUAGUAUGGGUAGUUUCCGUGGUUCCCUCUGUGAUUUUAUUUUAUGCCCUCUAUUAUUUUAUUUAAUAAGGAUCCAUGUGCAAGUAUCAACAUUUUUAUGGGAUCUGAACGUAAUUCAAGCAUUGCUUUCCCAAGAGGCAUAUUAUCUUUUAGUUUUAUUCCCUCUAUCAUGAGAUUCAAAUUUAGAAAGGCUGCUCUUGCUGCUUCUUCAUCCCAUAGAAUAUUAAGAAAAGGAUACGGGGAAAGUGGAUAGAAGUUUCAAAACACAGCUAAAUUUCAUGGAUCUUUUUGUAUGUUAUUUUAGGCAUGCAAUUUUGCUUAGGAGUUUAAAAUGAUGAAAACUCAAAUUUGGCUUAAAGAUUGUUUACCUAAUUUUUGUUUCUCCAAAUAAUUCUACCUUCUCUAAAUUUGACACUGCAAUUCAAUUUCAAAAUAGGUAUUGCCUUCUUUGAGAGAAAAACAUGACGAGUUCAUGUUGCGAGAGCUGGUAAAACGGUGGUCAAAUCAUAAGAUCAUGGUCAAAUGGUUGUCUAGAUUCUUCCAUUAUCUUGACUGCUAUUUCAUUGCCCGGAGAUCUCUGCCGGGGCUUAAUGAAGUUGGAUUAACUUGCUUCCGUGAUCAGGUAAUUAUGGUUCUCCUUCUCUUUUCAAUCAAAACUUUGUUUCUAUGGUCAUCUAUUAAAACAUCUCCACCUGAUCCCUUGGUCAAAGCACUGAGUUCAGCUCAUGGCUUCUAUAGUGAUUUUUUUUAAUUCUGUUUUCUGGGUUUUGCCUAUUCUAGAAUUCGGUUUUCAGUUUGACAGUAUACUCAACUGCUUCCACGUCCUUUUACGAAAAGAUGUUACCAUUUAGUCCCUGCAUCUCAAUUAUGUGAAGGUGUUUGACUGGGCACACAGUUUAAGAGAAAAAGAAAGAAUUUUGAAACUUGUGGUAUAAAGUAAGCUAUAGAAACUUUGUGAGUAUAAAGUAAAACAAGAAAUGUGAAUUUAAAUUGUUACUUAUUAUGGAUAGAUGUCCCUUUUUUGAGGACUGACUAAAAUAUAAAGAGUAUCACAUAAAUUGAAACAGAGGUAAUAUCUUACUGGGUGACUGUUUUCUAUUUUAGGUCUACCAAGAGUUGAAUGGAAAAGUCAGGGAUGCUGUUAUAUCUUUGGUAUCUCCUUUGUCUUGCUUUGAGUUCUCACUACCAUUUCUUUUUUCCUUUUAAUUGAGCAAUAACAUUCCUCUAACCAGAUUGAUCAAGAGCGUGAGGGAGAGCAAAUUGACAGAGCUCUACUAAAGAAUGUGCUAGAUAUAUUUGUUGAAAUGGGAAUGGGGUCGAUGUAUUAUUAUGAGUACGAUUUUGAAGAUGCAAUGCUCAAGGACACUGCGGCUUAUUAUUCUUGCAAAGCUUCUAACUGGAUCCUCGAAGAUUCAUGUUCAGAUUAUAUGCUAAAAGUUAGUAUACCGCGUAUGCAACCCCUUGAUUCUGCCAUUCUUGCCCUGUUGUUUCUUCUGUCUAUCUUUUUUCUGGUUAAUGUCCAUAUGUUAACCUACAUAAUCAUGUCAAUGUUACUUUAGGCUGAGGAGUGCUUGGAACGAGAGAAGGAUAGGGUCUCUCAUUAUCUCCAUUCAAGCAGCGAGACAAAGUUGCUUGAGGUUCGUUCUAGCUCUUAAUCUUUUUUCUUUACUGGAACUUUAGCCUUCAAGAUGGAGGAUGUUGCUAUCAGUUUUUGUUGUUCACAUCUUCUUUUUUCUGGAUCUAAUCUAUCAACUUUAAAUUAGUUGCAACCUUACUAGUCUCUCCUUUCUACAGAAAGUGCAACAUGAGUUGUUGUCUGUGUAUGGCACUCAACCUCUUGAGAAGGAGCACUCUGGAUGCCAUGCGUUACUAAGAGAUGAUAAGGUAGCUAGCAGCAUCUUAAUGACCACGUUUCGGAUUUUAUAUUUGCAGUAAUUGACACAAUCAUGAUUAUUUAAUUAGGUUGAAAAUUUAUCAAGGAUGUAUAGGUUCUUUUCUAAGAUUCCUCAAGGCUUAGACCCUGUGGCCAAUAUUUUUAAGCAGGUUUGUGAUCUCAUGACAUCAUAUUCUCGAUUGUAUACCAAUAAGUUACUUCACAUAUCCUUCUUUUUAAUCUGAAUGCAGCAUGUUACUGCUGAAGGUGCAGCUUUGGUAAAACAGGCUGAAGAUGCUGCUAGCAACAAAAAGGUUUGUACAAUCUAUCCUUUUCAAAUUCUUUGGUCUUGAGAAAUUUGGUUCUUCCUUAUUUGGCGUUUAUACACUUUGAGUUGACUUGGAACUUGUCAAACUAGAAGUUUUUGCUAUUUUAAUAUGCUAAGUUACUUGUGUUCAAGUGUCUGAUCAACUUAAUUUCAUAUUUUAGCACACCAUUUCUGACAUCAAUACUUUUAAGUUUAAAAGCUAUCUACUCUAGCUCCCAAGUCUUAGGAAAUACAAAUACCCCCUGCCACUCAAGUUUUAGAAAAUACAAACUAACCACUUACUAUAAAUAUUUUAGAAAUUUUAAAAAAAUUACAACAUCUGUUUCUUACCCACCAAAAUCUCUCCUUCCUUGCCAAUUUUCUGUCAUCCAGCUUGUUUUCCCGCAAAAAAUUGAAGCAUUUCACUGGAAAAUUACUCCACAUGACGAAAACCUCCUCAAGAUCAGCCAUUGUAGUUCCCCAUUAUUGUAGAAGCUCGAAAUAUUUCAUCCAUUAUAGAAGAAGCUCAUUUUUCCAGCAGCCUCUUUCCAGUCAUUCUCCAGCGACAUUUUGUUUUUACAUUUCACCAUUUUAGUAGCUCAUCUGACCUGUGAGAGAUCUAUCCCCGUGGUUUUCUUUUUUCUAGUAUUCUACAAUCAUCAAGCAGUGAGCAGUAGCAUCGACCAUUACUGGUUUAUUACAUCGUUUGCUGAAUAUAGUGGUGAUUAUGGUGGUGAAUGGGAGGAGACUUCAAAAUGUUGGAAGUGGAACUCUCUGAGUAAGGUGACAGUGUCCAUUGUCCUGCGUUGCAAUAGUACAUAUGACGACAUGGUUGAGGGAAUUAUUGAAUGCAGGGAAUUAAAUUGUGAACCGAGCAACUUGAUCAUUAGUUAUGGAUGAAUGCUAAGGGAAACAUCCAUCCAUCUUUCAUAACAAAUGAUAGGCACGUGGGGUUGUACAUGCUUGAUGUUGUCCCUGAUGGUUCUAGACUAGUUUUCUGGGUUAAAGUUGUUGAGAGGCAUGAAGAAGAAGAAGGUUCAACACCAUUAGGGUGGCUUGGGUGGGGGGGUUUGUCCCUAGAAAAUGCUUGAUAUAAAUAUUAGAGAAAGGGAAAUCCAUUCAUUAGAAAGCUCGUGCUGCUUCACAAAACAUCAAGAAAAAAGUGAUUGUAAACUCAGUGAAAAAAGUGACACCAAGUUCAGGGAGCUUUCUCAAAAAAUAGCAAUCCCUUGAAAAGGGGAGAUGACUGCUAGAAUAUAUUGUGUAUCAUAUCUUGAGUUGUCAGUUUGUGAGACUAGCAAUUUAUUGCUGAUUAGAGCAUUUUGCUUCAUUUUGUUUUGGGGGUGGGGGGUGGGGGUUCCCACCCAGUGUUCAAUACCCGCAUUGGGGCUCGAGUAAAUCCGGAUUCGCGCCGGAAUGUCUCACAGUGGGGUAAAGCGCUCCGUAAUAAAUGAAACUCGGUAACCAAGGGAACUCGAACGGAGUCCUGAUUAAGGAGUAUGGAGUACAUAGCACUCCACCAUAACCCUUGCUCGUAGCAUAUUGCUAUUCUGCUUAUUUUAAUUGCCAGUUUGUGCUUUUGAUGAGUUUUGUUCAGAGAUUUCUUUUUAACAUCAUCUCCUCUUUUUUAUCAAAAGCAUGAAGUCACAAAGUUUGACUUCAUCUCAGUGAUUGUUUUGUUUCAUUUACUUUAUUUAUCCUUCAGUACAUGAUCAUUGAUAAUUUUGGUGGUUGGGAAUGUUACUUCAAAGAAGUGGUAAUGUUCUUUAAAGCAAAACCCCCCCAUCAAGUGCCUUUUGUUGCAUUUCCUUCUUCUAUGUAUCUUAACUUUUCCCCUUAUGCUGUUUAGAACAAUGCCAGAAUUAAUUCAUUUUAUCUUUUUAGGGAUGAGACUGGUAUUUCUUUGUGAAUGCAUUUAAUAUAAUUGCUCAAUGUCUUGCAUUCUUUCUUAUCAACUAGUGUUCUUCAACAGGCAGAUAAGAGAGAUGUGGUUGGUUUGCAGGAACAGGUAAUCCCUUAGUAAAUCUGUUAUCUGGUCCUUGAAUAUGUUUUCGGCUGUUAACUUACUUCUGAAUUUUCAGGUUUUUGUUGGGAAAGUGAUUGAGCUUCAUGAUAAAUAUUUGGCAUAUGUGAAUAACUGUUUCCAAAACCACACACUUUUUCACAAGGUAUGUGUUGGAGCAAAGGAUAGUUGUCUAAUUUAAUUGUUCUACUCUGUGCAUUAGGUCUGUGCAUCAGGGUAAAAGUAAAUUACUAACAUAUGUCCUCUUUGUCACUUUCUAGGCACUUGAAGAAGCUUUCGAACUUUUCUGCAACAAGGGUGUUGCUGGUAGCUCAAGCACUGAACUUCUUGCCACAUUCUGCGACGUCAUUCUCAAAAAAGGAGAGAGUGAAAAAUUGAGUGAUGAAGCCAUGGAAGAGAUAUUGCAGAAGGUGAGCUCUUGCUCUAUAGAUCCCCUUCUCUUCUUUUUCUCAAGAGCAUCUGCUUUUUCUUCGUACUAAUGGAGCAGGAGAAAGCUGAUAAUAGAUCUCACUUGCAGGUGGUAAAGCUGCUAGCUUAUAUUAGUGAUAAGGACUUGUUUGCAGAGUUCUAUAGGUAGAGUUACCUCUACUGUGUAUCUCAACCACUACUUGAAUAGUUGCUUCUUCUCUGUUACAAGUUUAUGACUUCCGUUUUUUUCCAGGAGAAAACUAGCCCGGCGGUUGUUAUUUGAUAACAGUGCCAAUGAUGAACAUGAGAGAAGUGUCCUAAGAAAGUUGAAGCAGCAGUGUGGGGGACAGUUCACAUCAAAGAUGGAGAGAAUGGUAAGCUAUCCAGAUCAAUUAUGCUGAAUUUGAAGCUAUGUUCUCUGGUGACAUUUUUCUUCUCUUCUUAUAGGUCACAGAUUUGACAUUGGCAAGGGAAAAUCAAGGCAACUUUGAGGAGUAUUUGAGCAAUAAUCCAAUAGCAAAUCCAGGAAUUGACUUGACGGUGACUGUCUUGACUACUGGCUUCUGGCCUAGCUACAAGUCUUUUGAUCUCAACCUCCCAGCAGAAAUGGUAUAUCAUAUCAAUAUGUUAAUUAGCAUUAUGUUGAUUUUAUCUUGGUUUUGACCCUUGUUCCUCUUGCUGAAGUUCUUAUCUUUCGGCAAGGAAUGAUGCAUGUUUUUUUGCUUGAAUCAUUUUUCUUCUCAAACGUCCUUUCAUUGAUUCAUUUUAUGCUGCGCAUUGUCAGGUUAGGUGCGUUGAAGUAUUCAAGGAGUUUUAUCAAACAAAAACGAAGGACAGGAAACUUACGUGGAUAUACUCUUUGGGAACUUGCAACAUAAAUGGAAAUUUUGAGCCGAAGACUGUUGAGCUCGUUGUCACUACUUAUCAGGUUGAUUUUUGGCUUACUUUUUGAAAUCGGAUAGGCUUAGUUGAUUUGAAAUAUUGGUAUUAUGUUAUCAAUGAGAAAACGAGAUUGAGACUUCUUCCUUUUUCGUAGGCUUCUGCUCUGUUGCUCUUUAAUGCAUCAGAUAGAUUGAGUUAUCAGGAAAUCAUGACGCAAUUAAACCUAUCAGAUGAUGAUGUUGUUCGGCUUCUUCAUUCCCUUUCAUGUGCGAAGUACAGGAUUCUCAACAAGGAGCCAAGCACCAAAACAAUUUCUCCGACUGAUAUCUUUGAGUUCAACUCAAAGUUCACUGACAAAAUGAGGAGGAUCAAGGUAUAAUUAAUGAUGAGUAAGGCUAGCCUUUCUGCUAUGAAUUGUUGCACUACAUUACUGACCUUUUAAGGAUAUCGUUGUAAUGGUAUGCAGAUACCUCUCCCUCCUGUCGGUGAGAAGAAAAAGGUAAUUGAAGACGUUGACAGGGAUAGGCGGUAUGCUAUAGAUGCUUCAAUUGUGCGUAUUAUGAGGAGUCGUAAAGUAAUUGCCUACCAGCAACUGGUUGUGGAAUGCAUUCAGCAGUUGGGACAGAUAUUCAAGGUAUCCCCAGGAUAAACUUCUACUUCUCAAUUUUAAAGAUCGUUUUUCCAGUUUAACUGAGCUAAUUACUUUGUUUUGAAUACCCCAUAGCCUGAUGUCAAAGCUAUCAAGAAGAGAGUCGAAGAUUUGAUAAGUAGAGAAUACCUAGAGAGGGACAAAGAUAACCCAAAUUUGUUCAAGUACUUGGCAUGAUUUGUGCUGAUCAUAAUACUUGGAGAAACAGGCCGCCCAAGAUGAACUUCUUGGACCUUUGAUUGCCUUGCAUCAGGAGCUUGAAACAUUUUGUACAAAUGGACAAGAGCUUGAAACUCUCAUAUACUUGAGAUGUGAUUGCCUUAACUUCUUCCAAUCUUAUAUGGCCCUUUCACUUGCUCUAUUCUGUGUUUUGUUGGCUACCUGUUUGAGUAAACGUAAUAUCCUAGUCAACAGCUUACCCUCCCUAGAUUCAGCACAAUGGUAUUUACUUUUAGUACAUGCUCUGCAAUUGUACUUUGUUGGUUCUUUGUAGAUUGUGAUUUGGACCUUGGUGGUCCUUGUGGGGUUAUCUUUUAACCUUGUGCAAGUUUAUUGGAUCUGGGCCCUCAUGUUUCAACAGUUCUCUCUCUUGAAUGAAUCACUUCCUAAUUUUUAGGUCC